rnacentral:antisense_RNA from 2 species
UGUAGGAGUGAGCCUGCUCGCGAUAUCGGUGUGUCAGGCAAUGAAGCGUCAACUGAUCCGACGCUAUCGCGAGCAGGCUCACUCCUACA